rnacentral:rRNA from 1 species
UCUGGCUCGGAUGUCGUAACAGGGGACCCUAGAGUUUGAUUUUGGUUCGAGAGAGUGGAAAACUGGUGAGUAACACGUGGGAAACCUGCCCAGAAGCGGGGGAUAACACCUGGAAACAGAUGCUAAUACCGCAUAACAACUUGGACCGCAUGGUCCGAGCUUGAAAGAUGGCUUCGGCUAUCACUUUUGGAUGGUCCCGCGGCGUAUUAGCUAGAUGGUGGGGUAACGGCUCACCAUGGCAAUGAUACGUAGCCGACCUGAGAGGGUAAUCGGCCACAUUGGGACUGAGACACGGCCCAAACUCCUACGGGAGGCAGCAGUAGGGAAUCUUCCACAAUGGACGAAAGUCUGAUGGAGCAACGCCGCGUGAGUGAAGAAGGGUUUCGGCUCGUAAAACUCUGUUGUUAAAGAAGAACAUAUCUGAGAGUAACUGUUCAGGUAUUGACGGUAUUUAACCAGAAAGCCACGGCUAACUACGUGCCAGCAGCCGCGGUAAUACGUAGGUGGCAAGCGUUGUCCGGAUUUAUUGGGCGUAAAGCGAGCGCAGGCGGUUUUUUAAGUCUGAUGUGAAAGCCUUCGGCUCAACCGAAGAAGUGCAUCGGAAACUGGGAAACUUGAGUGCAGAAGAGGACAGUGGAACUCCAUGUGUAGCGGUGAAAUGCGUAGAUAUAUGGAAGAACACCAGUGGCGAA